CCUACGGGCGGCAGCAGUGAGGAAUAUUGGUCAAUGGACGAGAGUCUGAACCAGCCAAGUAGCGUGAAGGAUGACUGCCCUAUGGGUUGUAAACUUCUUUUAUAAAGGAAUAAAACGAGGCACGUGUGCCUUUUUGCAUGUACUUUAUGAAUAAGGAUCGGCUAACUCCGUGCCAGCAGCCGCGGUAAUACGGAGAAUCCGAGCGUUAUCCGGAUUGAUUGGGUUUAAAGGGAGCGUAGAUGGGUUGUUAAGUCCGUUGUGAAAGUUUGCGGCUCAACCGUAAAAUUGCAAUUGAUACUGGCAGUCUUGAGUACAUGUGAGGUAGGCGGAAUUCGUGGUGUAGCGGUGAAAUGCUUAGAUAUCACGAAGAACCCCGAUUGCGAAGGCAGCUUACUAAACUGUGACUGACAUUGAUGCUCGAAAGUGUGGGUAUCAAACAGGAUUAGAUACCCGUGUAGUC
rnacentral:rRNA from 1 species